rnacentral:rRNA from 1 species
AUGAACGCUGGCGGCGUGCCUAAUACAUGCCAGUCGAGCGAACGGACGAGAAGCUUGCUUCUCUGAUGUUAGCGGCGGACGGGUGAGAACACGUGGAAAACCUUCCUAUAAAACCUGGGUAACUUCGGGAAACCGGGGCUAAUACCGGGUGAUAUUUUGAACCGGUUGGUUUCAAAGGGAAAGGCGGGUUUGGUUGCACUUUUAGAUUGAUCCGCGCUGCAUUCGGUAGUUGGUAAGGUAACGGCGUACCAAGGCAACGAUGCAUAGCCGACCUGGGAGGGUGAUCGGCCACACUGGAACUGAGACACGGUCCAGACUCCUACGGGAGGCAGCAGUAGGGAAUCUUCCGCAAUGGGCGAAAGCCUGACGGAGCAACGCCGCGUGAGUGAUGAAGGUCUUCGGAUCGUAAAACUCUGUUAUUAGGGAAGAACAUAUGUGUAAGUAACUGUGCACAUCUUGACGGUACCUAAUCAGAAAGCCACGGCUAACUACGUG